CGAAUUCCUGACCUCAAGCAGUCCUCCCACCUCAGCCUCCCAGAGACUCAUUACAGGUGUGAGCCACCACACCUGGUGAAUCUUAAAUGGUCAAAUGAUAAAAUUCUGACUAUUGAAAUGUGGGAGGUAGCCUGUUAAUGAGCCUUUUGGGAAAUUUUACCUCAGUGGUGCCCUUUCUCUCCUUCUGGAUUUUGGACUUUGCUAUGUGAAGAUGUAAUGUAUUGGGUGGCUGCAGCCUUUUUAACACCCUGAUAUUCAGCCUGAGUUCAAAAGUUGACAUGUCAAGGAUGACAGAGGAGAGAUGUGAGAAGAACCUAGAUGCUGCUGAUGCUACUUGACCACAGUAAUCAGAGAGAAACAGAUAAACUGAGGAGCUGACAGUUGGAAAGACGAUCAGACUCAGAGACCCUGAUGUGUAUGUUUUCGCCUAUUAAAUACUUGCUUCUAUUGACGAUGUGAUUGGUAAAAAUAUUCUCUAUGUCUCUCUGUCUCUCCCUCCCUCCCUUCUCUCUCUUCCCCUUUCUCUUCCUUUCCCCCUCUCUUCCCCUUCUCCCUCUGCCCUGCUUUCUCUUUCUGCCCCCCCAUCUCCACCUGCUUCUAAGAGUCCCCAUACCCACAGCUCAGCUCUGCCUCCAUAAUAAGCCAUGUCAUUUGUGUGCCAGAGGCUGCUUCUAAGAAGGAGCUGGAUUGGGAUAGCGAGGUGCAUGGGAACCCUGAGAAGGCAGAGACCUCCUUCCACCCCAACCCCACUCCUGUCAACCCUAAACAGUCUCUCCCCCAAACCCAGCAACUAACUCCUGACACUGCCCCCCACCCUCCAGCUGCCUUCCUGCCAAGAUUCCAAGACCCUGGGAAUCUUGAAGUAAGUCAUUCCCUGAGACCUGUUUACUAUCCAGGCUUGAGGGAAAGGCGCAGAUUCAGGACUUGCUUUUUUUGUUGUGGGGCAUAGAAACAGUGACAAAUGUAAGUAGCAGCAAGGGAAGAGAGGUCCACCAAGCUCCCCCACCCAAAACUUGGUCCUCCCCAUUUUUGUGUCGAUCUCAGUUUUUGUCCACUUUUUGCACCUCCUCUGAGUUUCUUCAAUGCAGCAAAUAAAUAGGAGCUCCCAGUACAUACAAGGUCCUGCCUGGUGCAUAGGACACAACUGGGAAAUAAGUCCCUCUGUAGACUACCUUGGAGUAAAUAAAUAAAUAUUAAAAAAUAAAAGAAAGAAACAAGUCCCUCUUUUGGAGUUAUUUUUUCUUCUUCCCUUUAUAUGUACCUCUCUUCAGGUGUCUGUCUUUCUCUUAGUCAAAUGAUCAAGAACUAUUCAUCAGGUAGCCACUGUAUGUUUGCAUUUGGGCUCGCUUUCCUUCUCUAACUCUGCCCUCUCCCCACACCAUCGGCACUACCUGCCCACACUUUCAGCGUCCAGCUCCCACUUACACUGCGGCAAGAUGAUUAGAGUCACGUACAGUAGAAACUUUCCAAGAACAGAGAACCCUGAGGGACUAAUAACUCUGGUGGUUCACUUCUUCUCCAGGAUAACCAGUUUGUCAGGGGACAGGGGAAUGCAGGAGAUGACUUCACAAGGAUACAGGUAAAGGGUAACCUCCAAAGUGUUCCUCCUGGCUGUUAGAGCCUCCCUUACCCAUCUUUGCCCCUCAACUCUAGCUGCUGAUUAUUCUUUCUGAAGCAUUAGUCCAAGCCAGUGUCCCGCUGACAAAUAUGAUUCAGUGUGGCAUUCAGAGCUCUGCACAAAAUGGCCUCAACUCACCCCUUCCAACUCCCCCACUCCCACCCACCGCAAGCCCUUCAGGCCUGGUUACCUUCCCUAACAGUUUCCUGCUUCUCCACUAACCACGUUUCAUGUCUUUUGAGGCCACACUUAGAAGUUACUUGUCCAAGAAGCCUUCCCUGAUGCCCCUAAAAGAGCUCAGAACCACAGGCACCAAACAUACCCUAUAUACGUGUACACUGACCUGCCAACCAAGAAUGUUGACAUCACACCAAGAAGUCCUAUGGCCAUAUCUUGUGCUUUCCACCCUGCUCUGGUCAGACUCCAGGCUCCUCCAGGCUCGUGGACAGCUCACCCCCAAUACUCUUUUGUAUUCUGGUUUCCACACUCUCUGGGGCCCCAAGCAGGCCCUGGUGUGUCCUUUGGUCCUGGUGUGUCUGCUCUCUCAACCUUCUCAUUACCUGCCUACACAGUGACAUCUUCCUCCCCUCCUCUGCCCUUCCUCUUCCUCUCCCUUACCUCCUUCUCCUCCCCUUCCUCAAUAUCAACAAGCUUCCUUGAGAGCCUACUCUGCCCCUACCACACCCAGAGCACAGACUCUGGAGCCAGACUGCCCAGGCUCUAAUUCUUGCUCCACCUCUUCCUAGCAGUCGGGAAAAGUACUUAAAGUACUUUCUCAUCUGUGAAAUGAAGUUAAUACUAGUACGUAGCUUGCAGGAUUGUUGAGAGUAUUGAGUUAGUAUAAGUAGGGUGCUUCGAACAAUCACUGGCAUAAAGUCCAUACUGUAAAAGUGAGAGUGACUGUUCUAUUCUUCUGGUCUGGGAUAAAGGAUUCUCAAGUUUAGAGGAAGAGAGCUAUCAGGUACUGAGUGGCCCCUAUGUCGAGGGUCUUAUAUAUGGUGUCUUAAUUAAAAACAACACUUGUGAGAAGAGGUUGUCACCCCAUCUCUUCCACAGUCAGGGAAAGGAAGGCUUCAGGUAUGAAGUGACUCUCCUAUGGUCUCAUAGCCAUUAAGUGGAAGAUCCAGGAAUUUAACUCAAAUUCAUUCGAUUCCAAAACUGUACCUUUCCCAAGACACAAUGAUGUUUCUUUGAUUUGAGGAUUGGAGGUUAGGAUUUGGAGAUUGCAAUGCAAGGAUGUGAGGUCUGAGAGUGCUUGUGCUUUGGGUAUCCGUAUUAUCUCAGCUGAAGGCAGGUUCAGUGUGAGGAACUUGUUUUCAGAGUGGUCACAGAGUGUGGACAGGGUGUUGAAGCCUCACUGCCAUACAUCCCUACUUUCUGAAAUCAAUGUUCUAUCUAGCCUCACAGUCUGGUUUGGAGGUUACUGGGGGUGGGGGUCAGAUGAGUACUGGAGAACAAAAAGAGUCACCAAAUUGAUGACUCACCUGGGGUUGGGAAGUCCAGGGCCACCUGUAGAUGAAUUAUCUGGUUAGGAAGCCAUGACCAGGUGGAUCAAUGGAGACAGAGGUUUUUUCGUUUAUUGCCUCACAUUGAAAGAGCUGCACCCCUGGGCUGGGGAUCAAGGAGACUGCUGUCUUUUGUCCAGUUGUGCCCCAGCCCUGGAUCACUGAUUCCUCAGGGAACUCAGAGCCUACUUGGGGAUACAUCAGCACUGGGGACUUCCCUAGGAAGCAGAUUUGGAGAUAGAGAUGAAUGUGCAGGGAGCUCUUGGGAUCAAAACUUGUGGAAGGGAGAGGAAGUAAUUGGGAUUGGGCCAAGGCCUACCCUUUGGGGCACUCUGGAACUGUAAUGGCCUGUCAACUUUUUCUCAAGUUGUGGCCAGAGGACUCAGCUUUUAUACUCCCACGGUGAUGACCUGUGGGAUGUGAGUAGCCCCAGGAGAAGCUGAUGGCUGAGAGCUGUCUGCUAUCACCCCCAGCACCUGGGGAUAAGUCCUUCAUUGAUGGGACUCUGGGUGGCACAUUAUAGCAUCCGCCACAAGUAACUACCCAAACUGGGGAGGACAGAGCAGUCAAAGAAAGGUUCAAGUAUGAGACAAUGCCUGGGCUGGGUUUAGAAGGAUGAAUAGGGGUUAUACAGGCAAAAAACUGUCAGGGGUGGGGCCACAUACAGGGAAAGGGACGUUUCUGGCAGAAGAAACAGGAUGUACAAAAACCCAGAGGCAAAGAUGACACAGGAGAGGAAGGCAGGGCCUGAAGUUCUGCUCUGCCACACUAAAGAAUUUGAGUCUUUGUAUUAAGGGGAUGGGGAGCCCAUAAAGGAUUUUAGGACAAUGUAUUUCAUAAUUAAGGUUUGCAUUUUAGAAUAAUCCUGACACUGCCACUUAUUUGCUAACUGUGUUGCUAACAAAUUACUUAACCCCUCUGUACCUUGAUUUCCUUAUCUGUAAAGUGGGAAUAAUAACAGUGCCUGCUGCAUAGGGCUGUUGUAAGAAUGAAAUGAGAUAGUAUAGGUCAGGCUGGCAUGCGCGGUAAGCCCUCAGGGAAGAUUAGCUACUGUUAUUUGCAAUUACAGGCUGGAUCAGGGUGGGAGGAAGCCAGUGGAAGGGGCAGUUAGGGGGCUUACAGCGGGGAGGAGAUGACGAGGGCCGGUUUAAAAGCUUUUAUGAGGUAAAACUCAUAGGACUUAGUGAUUGCUCGGGUGAAAAAGGUGACAAAAAAGAUGGCAUUCAUAUGACCCCCAGAUUUCUGGUUUGGGUGACUUCUGGUGGGCAUACACAGAUUCGAGUCAGGGGGAAGUGGUUAAUUCUUUGGGAAUGAGUUGAAAUUGAGAUUCUUGAGGAACAUGCAGCUGGAGAUGCCAGUCUGUUGUUCUGAGCUGAGCUCUGAGAGAGGUCUGAAGGAAAAAAAUAGUGCCAAGGUGGCCAGGAGUGCUCUGGGUCUGGCGGAGGUCCUGGGCAAGUGUGUGGGAAGGAAGAGUUAUGGGCAGCCAAUGGAGCUGUGGCAAACGCUGUCCUUAAAGGGGUGUGUAAGGGAGAGAAAAGAGACCCCAGGGAAGAGGGGAACAAGGAGAUGCUGCUGGUGUGAAACUCAAGGGAAGGAGGAGACCCAAAGAGGCACUAGCCAGCCCAGCUCGGUACUACAGAGAGCAAGAAAAAUAAAGGUGGCAGAGUCUGCCGAAGAAGGCAAGAGGUUCCUGGUGGUUGACUUUGAAUGAGCACCUCAUCGAAGUAGUCGGUGGAAAGCAGGCUAUGAUGAUUUGAAGAAUGAAGAUGGGCUGAAGGUUGCCCAUCCCUGAAUGAACAGACACGUGGAGAGAGACAUUCCCAGGAGACAAUGCUGGGACCAGUCUGAGUGCCAUCUUCCCAAAUCACCUUUGCUUUUACUCCUUCUCCUGUUUCUGGCCAUAGACUGCCUUGUGUCUAUCAUAGUCACUUCUGUGUCUCUGCCCUACCCCCUUUACCAGUCUGUAAGCAACUUCAAGGUAGGAUCCUCAUCCCCAUUUGGGUCCAUUUCUAUGCCAGGAAUGGUGCUGACUGGACCCGCAGGUGACCAGCCAUUGCUUGUGGAGUGAAUGAAUGAUCCGAAUUGAGACCAUGGAGCAAGUUUCCUGGUUUGCAGACUGGUCAGUCAGCAGAGAGCUGCCCUUUGAGGGAGAUAUUCCAAUUAUCAGUACAGAUGGGGAAUCCAAGGUUCCAAGAGUAUAUAUACUGCCAAAGCGGGCACUGUGACUACAUCUUAAUAAAGCUGUUAUUUAACAAAAAAUGAAGAGCUUAUUCAAGAUCCAACAGCUCAUGAGAAGUGGAGCUGGAGCCAGAACCCCGUCCCUGGACUCUAAGUUCAGUGCUCUUUCCACAAGCCCUACGAUGCCUCAAAAAUGUUGCUGUGGAGACUUCAAGGCCAAGUUCUAAAUAAGAUGUGUGGGGUGUCCAUGUAGCAUACUGGCUUUUCUGUAGGGUUGUCAAGUUUCCAUCAGGGUAACGUGUCAUGUUAUGUGUGUGUACGUGUAGCUGCGUGGCUUCAGCAGCUCUGUGUGUCUCGGCAGGUGUGGCGCUGCACAUCUGUGCCCAGGCCCGGGCAUGUCUCUAUCGGGAGCGUUUGGGUCUGCCUGGAUGCAUGUCUGUGGCUGCCCACACAUCUCUGCUCGUUGGCUGCGAUCUGUGUUUCUCUGCGUUUGUAGGUGUAUUUGGGCAUGCCCAUGUCUCCGAAUGUCAGUCCAUUUGUCUGUGUCCAUGAAGCCAUGUGACUGCAUGGGAGUCUGUGUUCAUGUGUUCAUGCGUAGCAGUGUUUCUGCCUAUGUAAUGUGUCUCCGUGGGUGUCCAUGGGUUUCUUAAUGUGUCAGCCUGUAAAUCUGGGUUCAUAUGCCUUCACCCCCAGGUCUCUACACGAGUCCUCAGUUUACCAGUAUUCUGGUGUCCACACAGGUCCUGCACCUAGGUAGUGGGGCCCAUGGGCCUGUCCAUCUGAGUCUGUGUGUCUGAGCCCCUCCUCCAGGCACCAGCCCCAGAAGGUGCCUGCCUCCCCACCCCCGCCUCUGACAGCCGUGGAGAGAGCGUCACAGUAAAUUCAUGGCCGCCCGGCUGGGAAACAGGCGGCUGCAAUGGAAAGGAAGCGUGGAUUUGCAUAUUGAAUUAAAAUUAAGAGCUAAUUAUGCAAAUAAAUUAUGACAUUUGGCAGGAGAAUUUGCUUCAA